GUGGGGAAUAUUGGGCAAUGGGCGCAAGCCUGACCCAGCAACGCCGCGUGAAGGAAGAAGGCUUUCGGGUUGUAAACUUCUUUUCUUGGGGACGAAGAAAGUGACGGUACCCAAGGAAUAAGCCACGGCUAACUACGUGCCAGCAGCCGCGGUAAUACGUAGGUGGCAAGCGUUAUCCGGAUUUACUGGGUGUAAAGGGCGUGUAGGCGGGAGCGCAAGUCAGAUGUGAAAACUCAGGGCUCAACCCUGAGCCUGCAUUUGAAACUGUGUUUCUUGAGUGCUGGAGAGGCAAUCGGAAUUCCGUGUGUAGCGGUGAAAUGCGUAGAUAUACGGAGGAACACCAGUGGCGAAGGCGGCUUGCUGGACGACAACUGACGCUGAGGCUCGAAAGCGUGGGGAGCAAACAGG
rnacentral:rRNA from 1 species